rnacentral:rRNA from 1 species
AGUGAACGCUAGCGGUAGGCCUAACACAUGCAAGUCGAACGGCAGCACAGUAAGAGCUUGCUCUUACGGGUGGCGAGUGGCGGACGGGUGAGGCAUACAUCGGAAUCUACUUUUUCGUGGGGGAUAACGUAGGGAACCUUACGCUAAUACCGCAUACGACCUACGGGUGAAAGCAGGGGAUCUUCUGACCUUGCGCGAUUGAAUGAGCCGAUGUCGGAUUAGCUAGUUGGCGGGGUAAAGGCCCACCAAGGCAACGCUCCGUAGCUGGUCUGAGAGGAUGGACAGCCACACUGGAACUGAGACACGGUCCAGACUCCUACGGGAGGCAGCAGUGGGGAAUAUUGGACAAUGGGCGCAAGCCUGAUCCAGCCAGACCGCGUGGGUGAAGAAGGCCUUCGGGUUGUAAAGCCCUUUUGUUGGGAAAGAAAAGCAGCAGGUUAAUACCCCGCUGUUCUGACGGUACCCAAAGAAUAAGCACCGGCUAACUUCGUG